rnacentral:rRNA from 1 species
GACGGGGCCCGCACAAGCGGUGGAGUAUGUGGUUUAAUUCGAUGCAACGCGAAGAACCUUACCUGGUCUUGACAUCCCGGAGACCCUUAGGAAACUAGGGGGUGCCUUCCAUCUGGAAGAAUCUGGAGACAGGUGCUGCAUGGCUGUCGUCAGCUCGUGUCGUGAGAUGUUGGGUUAAGUCCCGCAACGAGCGCAACCCUUGCCUUUAGUUGCCAGCAGUUCGGCUGGGCACUCUAAAGGGACUGCCGGUGUUAAACCGGAGGAAGGUGGGGAUGACGUCAAGUCCUCAUGGCCUUUAUGACCAGGGCUACACACGUGCUACAAUGGCCGGCACAACGGGAAGCGAGUUCGCGAGGACGAGCGGAUCCCUCAAAGCCGGUCGCAGUUCGGAUUGAAGUCUGCAACUCGACUUCAUGAAGCUGGAAUCGCUAGUAAUCGUGGAUCAGCCAAGCCGCGGUGAAUACGUUCCCGGGCCUC